AAACCUCUUUUAGUAGGGAAGAAGCGUAAGUGACGGUACCUGCAGAAAAAGCACCGGCUAACUACGUGCCAGCAGCCGCGGUAAUACGUAGGGUGCAAGCGUUGUCCGGAAUUAUUGGGCGUAAAGAGCUCGUAGGCGGUUUGUCGCGUCUGCUGUGAAAACCGGAGGCUCAACCUCCGGCCUGCAGUGGGUACGGGCAGACUAGAGUGCGGUAGGGGAGAUUGGAAUUCCUGGUGUAGCGGUGGAAUGCGCAGAUAUCAGGAGGAACACCGAUGGCGAAGGCAGAUCUCUGGGCCGUAACUGACGCUGAGGAGCGAAAGCAUGGGGAGCGAACAGGAUUAGAUACCCUGGUAGUCCAUGCCGUAAACGUUGGGCGCUAGAUGUAGGGGCCAUUCCACGGUUUCUGUGUCGCAGCUAACGCAUUAAGCGCCCCGCCUGGGGAGUACGGCCGCAAGGCUAAAACUCAAAGGAAUUGACGGGGGCCCGCACAAGCGGCGGAGCAUGCGGAUUAAUUCGAUGCAACGCGAAGAACCUUACCAAGGCUUGACAUAUACCGGUAACGGCCAGAAAUGGUCGCCCCGCAAGGUCGGUAUACAGGUGGUGCAUGGUUGUCGUCAGCU
rnacentral:rRNA from 1 species